rnacentral:rRNA from 1 species
UACCAGCUCUCCGAGUGGUAGGGAUGAUUAUUGGGCUUAAAGCAUCCGUAGCCGGCUUAGCAAGUCUCCUGUUAGAUUCAGCGACCUAAUCGUUGAGCCGCGGGAGACACUACUAGGCUUGGAGGCGGGAGAGGCCGACGGUAUUCUCGGGGUAGGGGUGAAAUCCUAUAAUCCCGGGAGGACCACCAGUGGCGAAGGCUGUCGGCUAGAACGCGCUCGACGGUGAGGGACGAAAGCUGGGGGAGCGAACCGGAUUAGAUACCCGGGUAGUCCCAGCUGUAAACGAUGCGGGCUAGGUGUUGGGGUGGCUACGAGCCACUUCAGUGCCGCAGGGAAGCCAUUAAGCCCGCCGCCUGGGGAUACGGCCGCAAGGCUGAAACUUAAGGAAUUGGCGGGGGAGCGACCACAAGGCGUGAAGCUUGCGGUUC